GACGAACGCUGGCGGCGUGCUUAACACAUGCAAGUCGAACGCUGAAGCUUGGUGCUUGCACUGGGUGGAUGAGUGGCGAACGGGUGAGUAAUAAGUGAGUAACCUGCCCUUGACUCUGGGAUAAGCCUGGGAAACUGGGUCUAAUACUGGAUACGACAUGUCACCGCAUGAUGGUGUGUGGAAAGGGUUUUACUGGUUUUGGAUGGGCUCACGGCCUAUCAGCUUGUUGGUGGGGUAAUGGCUCACCAAGGCGACGACGGGUAGCCGGCCUGAGAGGGUGACCGGCCACACUGGGACUGAGACACGGCCCAGACUCCUACGGGAGGCAGCAGUGGGGAAUAUUGCACAAUGGGCGGAAGCCUGAUGCAGCGACGCCGCGUGAGGGAUGACGGCCUUCGGGUUGUAAACCUCUUUCAGCACGGAAGAAGCGAAAGUGACGGUACGUGCAGAAGAAGCGCCGGCUAACUACGUG
rnacentral:rRNA from 1 species